UACAUUUCAUGGUUGUGCUCGCCUUAG
rnacentral:sRNA from 1 species